rnacentral:rRNA from 1 species
GAUGAACGCUAGCGGGAGGCCUAACACAUGCAAGCCGAGGGGUAUGAUUCUUUCUGGGAUCGGAGACCGGCGCACGGGUGCGUAACGCGUAUGUAACUUACCCCCUUCACUGUGAUAGCCCUUCGAAAGGAGGUUUAAUACCGGAUAACACUAAUGUGGGCAUCCACUUUGGUUGAAAGAUUUAUCGGAAUGGGAUAGACAUGCGUCAGAUUAGCUAGUUGGAGAGGUAACGGCUCACCAAGGCGAUGAUCUGGAGGGGGCCGGAGAGGGUGCCCCCCCACACUGGUACUGGGACACGUACCACACAGCUACGGGAGGCAGCAGUAAGGAAGAUAGGAGAAGGGGUGAGAGCCUGAUCCAGGCAACCCGCGUGCAGGAACACGGCGCGAUGGGUUGUAAACUGCUUUUGGAUGGGAAUAAACCACCUUACGAGUAGGGUGGUGAAGGUACCAUACGAAUAAGCACCGGCUAACUCCGUG